UGGGGAAUAUUGCACAAUGGGCGCAAGCCUGAUGCAGCCAUGCCGCGUGUAUGAAGAAGGCCUUCGGGUUGUAAAGUACUUUCAGCGGGGAGGAAGGCGAUAAGGUUAAUAACCUUGUCGAUUGACGUUACCCGCAGAAGAAGCACCGGCUAACUCCGUGCCAGCAGCCGCGGUAAUACGGAGGGUGCAAGCGUUAAUCGGAAUUACUGGGCGUAAAGCGCACGCAGGCGGUCUGUCAAGUCGGAUAUGAAAUCCCCGGGCUCAACCUGGGAACUGCAUUCGAAACUGGCAGGCUAGAGUCUUGUAGAGGGGGGUAGAAUUCCAGGUGUAGCGGUGAAAUGCGUAGAGAUCUGGAGGAAUACCGGUGGCGAAGGCGGCCCCCUGGACAAAGACUGACGCUCAGGUGCGAAAGCGUGGGGAGCAAACA
rnacentral:rRNA from 1 species